rnacentral:rRNA from 1 species
UAGGGAAUAUUGGACAAUGGGGGCAACCCUGAUCCAGCCAUGCCGCGUGAGUGAAGAAGGCCCUCGGGUUGUAAAGCUCUUUUGUCCGGAAAGAAAAGCAUUCGGUGAAUACCCGGAUGUUCUGACGGUACCGGAAGAAUAAGCACCGGCUAACUUCGUGCCAGCAGCCGCGGUAAUACGUAGGGGGCAAGCGUUGUCCGGAUUUACUGGGUGUAAAGGGCGCGCAGGCGGGAUAAAAAGUCAGUGGUGAAAUCCUACAGCUUAACUGUAGAACUGCCUUUGAUACUUGUAUUCUUGAGUUCGGGAGAGAGAGACGGAAUUCCAGGUGUAGUGGUGAAAUACGUAGAUAUCUGGAAGAACACCAGUUGCGAAGGCGGUCUCUUGGUCCGACACUGACGCUGAGGCGCGAAAGCGUGGGGAGCAAACA